GAGCACUGCAGUCUAUUAACCCCACGUACUUUAAUUUCAAAAACCCUCAUCUCCUCUCUAAGUCUGCUUGCAUCUCAUCAACGUGGUUAGAUGACAGCACAACGGAGAGAAUAGCAUUAAUGCCGUGUUAAAUAAAAGGGUCCUAAACUGCGAUCAGACAAGACUGAACCCUAGUUGUAUGUACCCAUGAGGACACGUCCUCAUCUUCCAGUGAUCCAAAAUGAACCAGCAACUGAUAAAAGCAAAAAGUUAAAUAUUUUGUUUUCAAAGACUUUACAAAAGCAAAGUGUUGCCAAUAAUUCCUCCUCAAUUUUCUUCUUUAGGAUCUGAGCACCCCACUCCAUUCCACUCCUGGAUAUUGCUGUAGGACAGCGGAUGAACAGAAACAAGCUGCUGAAAUUUAUGUCACCAGAUCCUGCGACGGAGAUCAGAUUUACGUACAAGCCCCC